GUAGGGAAUAUUGGACAAUGGGGGCAACCCUGAUCCAGCGACGCCGCGUGAGUGAUGAAGGCCUUCGGGUCGUAAAGCUCUGUUGCAGGGGAAGAACACAAUGACGGUACCCUGCUAGAAAGGAUCGACUAACUUCGUGCCAGCAGCCGCGGUAAGACGAGGGAUCCUAGCGUUGUUCGGAAUUAUUGGGCGUAAAGCGGGUGCAGGUGGCUUGGUAAGUCAGAUGUGAAAGCCUGUGGCUUAACCCCAGAAGUGCAUUUGAUACUGCUGAGCUUGAGUGCUGGAGAGGCUAUUAGAAUUCCUGGUGUAGUGGUGAAAUACGUAGAUAUCAGGAGGAAUACCGGAGGCGAAGGCGGAUAGCUGGCCAGACACUGACACUCAGACCCGAGAGCGUGGGGAUCAAACAGGAUUAGAAACCCGGGUAGUCC
rnacentral:rRNA from 1 species